GAUGAAGAACGUAGCGAAAUGCGAUAAGUAAUGUGAAUUGCAGAAUUCAGUGAAUCAUCGAAUCUUUGAACGCACAUUGCGCCCGCCAGUAUUCUGGCGGGCAUGCCUGUUCGUGCGUCAUUUCAACCAUCAAGCCCCCGGCUUGUGUUGGGGACCUGCGGCUGCCGCAGGCCCUGAAAAGCAGUGGCGGGCUCGCUGUCACACCGAGCGUAGUAGCAUACAUCUCGCUCUGGGCGUGCUGCGGGUUCCGGCCGUUAAACCACCUUCAUAACCCAAGGUUGACCUCGGAUCAGGUAGGAAGACCCGCUGAACUUAAGCAUAUCAAUAAGCGGAGGA
rnacentral:misc_RNA from 1 species